GGCCGCAAGGUUAAAACUCAAAUGAAUUGACGGGGGCCCGCACAAGCGGUGGAGCAUGUGGUUUAAUUCGAUGCAACGCGAAGAACCUUACCUACUCUUGACAUCCAGAGAACUUUCCAGAGAUGGAUUGGUGCCUUCGGGAACUCUGAGACAGGUGCUGCAUGGCUGUCGUCAGCUCGUGUUGUGAAAUGUUGGGUUAAGUCCCGCAACGAGCGCAACCCUUAUCCUUUGUUGCCAGCGGUUAGGCCGGGAACUCAAAGGAGACUGCCAGUGAUAAACUGGAGGAAGGUGGGGAUGACGUCAAGUCAUCAUGGCCCUUACGAGUAGGGCUACACACGUGCUACAAUGGCGCAUACAAAGAGAAGCGACCUCGCGAGAGCAAGCGGACCUCAUAAAGUGCGUCGUAGUCCGGAUUGGAGUCUGCAACUCGACUCCAUGAAGUCGGAAUCGCUAGUAAUCGUGGAUCAGAAUGCCACGGUGAAUACGUUCCCGGGCCUUGUACACACCGCCCGUCACACCAUGGGAGUGGGUUGCAAAAGAAGUAGGUAGCUUAACCUUCGGGAGGGCGCUUACCACUUUGUGAUUCAUGACUGGGGUGAAGUCGUAACAAGGUAACCGUAGGGGAACCUGCGGUUGGAUCACCUCCUUACCUUAAAGAA
rnacentral:rRNA from 1 species